rnacentral:rRNA from 1 species
UACGAAGGGGGCUAGCGUUGCUCGGAAUCACUGGGCGUAAAGGGUGCGUAGGCGGGUUAUUAAGUCAGAGGUGAAAUCCUGGAGCUCAACUCCAGAACUGCCUUUGAUACUGAUAGUCUUGAGUAUGGGAGAGGUAGAGGUGAACUGCGAGUGUAGAGGUGAAAUUCGUAGAUAUUCGCAAGAACACCAGUGGCGAAGGCGGCUCACUGGCCCAUAACUGACGCUGAGGCACGAAAGCGUGGGGAGCAAACAGG